GGCCCACGUGACCCCCGCAGGCCGGACACUGUGCGGGCCCCGCCCCCAGCCGUCGGCGGGCGCGCGGGGGAGGACGACGCGUGGGAGCUGGUGCUGGAGGGCAACUCUGCUGCGCCUGCGCCUGGGGCGCGCGGUUCAGACCUCGCAAACCUGGCCCCGAGCCAAGCGGCCCCGGAGGUGGCGCUUGGUCGCCGGCACCGCUCCUUCCGGGCAUCGAGUCUCUCGGACUCGUCACGCCAGGAGAGAACCUGUUUUCCGGAGGUGAAGGACUCUGCCUCAGGAUGGGGAAGUCUGCCCCUUUCCCGGGAUGUGUCGCUGAUGCUUCUUCAGAGGUGUCCUGCACUUCUGCUUCUACCACCAUUGACAUCCUUCUGUAUCCACGGUGGAAACUACUGUUAAUAUAACUUCCCAAAAGUGAAAGUCACUCAGUUGUGUCCGAUUCUGUGACCCCGUGGACUAUACUGUCCCUGGAAUUCUCCAGGCCAAAAUACUGGAGUGGGUAACCUAUCCCUUCUCCAGCAUAUCUUCCCGACCCAGGAAUCAAACCGGGGUCUCCUGGAUUGCUGGUGGAAUUCUUUACCAACUGAGCUACCAGGGAAGCCCAUAUAACUUCCCUGAAGUUUUAGAUAAUUAUGGACCAGGAUCAGACUCAAGCUUCCCACUGACCUGUCAAUGGCAUUCAGUCCAUCAAUAAACACCCCCAAAACUGUUGGCUGCUUUACAUGUAUUUCCACUGCUUCACCAGUAUUUCCUGGCUUUGUUUGUGUCAGGUAGUGUAUGAAGUGUUAGAAACAAAGAACUGAACACUGUUUGACAUAACGCAUAGCAAUUGUUUGGGUCCAUCUCCUAAAACAAAAUAAAAGUAAAAAUAAACAAAUGGGGCCUAAUGAAACUUAAGAGCUUUCACACAGCCAAGGAAAUUAUCAACAAAAUGUAAAGAAAACCUACUGAAUGGGAGACAGUAUUUACAAAUGAUGUGACUGAUACAGGGUUAACAUCCAACAUAUAUAAGCAGUUCAGACAAUUCAACAUCAAAAAAUGGGCAGAACUGAAUAGAAAUUUUUCCAGAGACGACCUGCAGAUGGCCAGCAGGCACAGAAAAUAGGCUCAACAUUGUUAACCCUCCGGGAAACGCAAAUCAAAACCACUAUCACCCAUACCUGUCAGGAUGGCCAUCAUCAAAAACAAUUUAAGUGUUGGCAAGGAUAUGGAGAAAGGGAGCCCUCAUGCACUGUUGGGAAUGUGAGUGAGUGCAGCUACUGUGGAAAGCAGUACAGAAGUUCCUCAGAAAAACUAAAAAUAAGAUUGCCAAGUGACCCAGCAAUCCCACUGCUGAAUAUGUAUUUGAACAAAAGAAAAACAUUAAUUCAGUAGGAUCCAUGCAUGCCAGUGUUCAUAGCAGCAUUAUUUACAGCUGCCAAGAUAAGGAGGCCCCUAAGUAUUUAUCAAAAGAUGAAUAAAGGUGUGUGUGUAUAUAUAUAAUAGAAUAUUCCUCAGUGAUAAAAAAUGAAGAAAUAAAAUUCGGCCACCUGCAGCAAAAUCGACUGAGCGACUGAACUGAACAGAGGGCAUUACGCUAAGUGAAGUAAAGCAUUCAGAGAAAGACAUACUAUGUGAUAUUACUUAUAUGUUGAAUCUAAAAAAAUAUAAGCAGUGAAAUUAACGAAAAAGAAACUGACUUACAGAUAGAAC
ensembl:lncRNA